rnacentral:tRNA from 2 species
GCCGCGUUCGUCUAGUGGCCUAGGACAUCGGGCUUUCAUCCCGAAAAUCACGGGUUCGACUCCCGUACGCGGUACUA